rnacentral:lncRNA from 1 species
UCCUCCUUCUGAGACGCUGGGGCCUGCUCUCCAUGAAGUCCUGACUCCCUCCUGCACCGCACCUCCCUUGCUGCCUUAAGUCCCGCUGUCCCUGUCACCCGUGUUCCCGUGGCUCUGGGCCCCUGCCACGCCAGGCGUGCUCUUCUGUUUCUGGCUGUCCCACCGGCGAUGCUGCGCUUCCACACCACCCGGCGCACAGGCGUUGGUAGAUGUGGAAGGUACCAAGAGCGGCAGGAGGAAGGGGCGCGCGGACACCCAGCCCCUUCCCGCGCACCCAGAGCAGGAAGAGCAGCGCGCACCCGGUCAGCGACGCGGCGGGCUCCACUGUGGCGCGCGCACUCCGAGCACGGAGGGCUGCAGGCUCACGCCACCUGGCUCCGCGCCCAUCCCAAUCCGCACCCGCCGCCCAGGAACCGGGGCUCACCCUCCGCCUGACAAUUGUCUCGGGGUGCCGAGGGUCCGUGGCCCGUUGCCCGGGAGGUGACCACUGAGGAGUCGCGCUGGGGAUCGGACCAGGAACUCACUGCUUUCAUUGGCUGCGGAGGUCAGACCGUCCCACCCUCUUCUCCCCGCCGCCGCGGCAAGGCCAGGGCGAAAGGGACAAGUGCGCUGCUGGGGUCCUCUGCGCUGUGCGGGUCCGGGACUCAGGGUUCCCGGCUGCUAUCAAGGCUGCGUAGCUUCCCCCUCCCCUCCUCCUUAGGUGGCAACUUGUGGACACACCCAUUAAGCGGUCAGGCGUCAGGUUUCCUCCCGAGAGGUGGGAGGCGCCCUGGCCUUGAUUCAUCGUGAAGCUAGGCAGGAGAUUUCCCAGCCACGGAGGGUGGAAAGCUUGCCUUGACCUCAGCAGGUCAUGUCACUCCGUGUGCACAAGGCCUCGAGAGGCACUUUUUAAAAAUUUUUUGAGGCGGUUUUCUUUUUUGUCUUUGUCUUUUCUUUUUUUUCUGAGACAGAGACAGAGUCUCGCUCUGUCGCCCAGUCUGGAGUGCAGAGGUGCUUUUCAAAAAUUUAUUUGAGCUGCGCGGCAGUCCUGGGCGGUAGGUAGUGGUGAAUCUCAUGUAUUCCCGUUGCAAUGCCCUACUCCCAAA